rnacentral:lncRNA from 1 species
GGAGAGGAGAGGAGAGGAGAGGAGAGGAGAGGAGAGGAGAGGAGAGGAGAGGAGAGGAGAGGAGAGGAGAGGAGAGGAGAGGAGAGGAGAGGAGAGGAGAGGAGGAAGGUGAAGAUGAGAGGUGAGGAGGAAGAUGAGGAGGAAGGUAAAGAGGAAGGAGAGGAGGAAGACGAGGAAGGUGAGGAGAGGAGGGAGGUGAGGACGGAGGAGAGGAGGAAGGCUGGGAGGAAGAAGAGAAGGAAGGCAAGGAGGAAGGAGAGGAGGAAGAGGAGAGGAGGAAAGCAAGAAGGAAGGGGAGGAGGAAGACGAGGAGAGGAGAGGGGUGAGGAGGAAGAAGAGGAGAGGAGGAAGACAAGGAGGAAGGUGAAGAGGAAGGUGGAGGGGAAGGAGAGGAGGAAGGUGAGGAGAGGAGAGAAGUGAGGAGGAAGGAGAGGAGGAAGGCAAGGAGGAAGGGGAGGAGGAAGAAGAGAGGAGGAAGGCAAGGAGGAAGAUGAAGAGGUAGGUGAGGGCAGGAGAGAGGUGAGGAGGAAGAUGAGGAGGAAGAAGAGAAGGAAGAAGAGGACGGAGAAGAGGAGAGGAGGAAGACAAGGAGGAAGGUGAGGAGGAAGGUAGAGGGGAAGGAGAGGAGGAGGAAGGAGAGGAAAGGAGGAAGGAGAGCAGGAAGGUGAAGGUGAGGAAGAUGAGUAGAGGAGGAAGAAGAGGAUGGAGAAGAGGAGAGGAGGAAGGUGAGAAGGAAGGGGAGGAGGAAGAUGAGAGGAGAGGGGUGAGGAGGAAGAAGAGGAGGAAGAUGAGGAGGGAGAAGAGGAGAGGAGGAAGGCAAGGAGGAAGGCGAAGAGGAAGGUGGAGGGGAAGGAGAGGAGGAAGGUGAGGACAGGAGAGAGGUGAGGAGGAAGGAGAGGAGGAAGACGACAAAGAUGAGGAGGAAGGAGAGGAGGGAGAAGAGGAGAGGAGGAAGGCAAGGAGGAAAGUGAGGAGGAAGGUGAGGAGGAGGAAGGUGAGGAGGAGGAAAGAGAGGACAGGAAAGGAGGAGAAAGGUGAGGAGAGGAGGAAGGAGAGGAGGAAGAUGAGGAGGAAGGAGAGGACGGAGAAGAGGAGAGGAGGAAGACAAGGAAGAAGGCAAAGAGGAAGGUAAAGAGCAAGGAGUGGAGGAAGAUGAGGAGGAAGAAGAGAAGGAAGACAAGGAGGAAGGAGAGGAGGAAGAUGAGGAGAGAGGUGAGGAGGAAGAUAAGGAGGAAGGAGAGGAGGAAGAUGAGGAGAGAGGUGAGGAGGAAGAAGAGGAGGAAGAAGGGAAGGAAGGAGAGGAGGAAGGUGAGGAUGAAGAUGAGGAGGGAGAUGAGGAAGGUGAGGAUAGGAGGGAGGUGAGGAGGAAGAUGAGGAGGAAGGAGAGGAGGGAGAAGAGGAGAGAAGGAAGGCAAGGAGGAAAGUGAGGAGGAAGGUGAGGAGGAGGAAGGAGAGGAGAGGAAAGGAGGAGAAAGGUAAGGAGAGGAGGAAGGAGAGGAGGAAGAUGAGGAGGAAGAAGAGAAGGAAGGCAAGGAGGAAGGAGAGGAGGAAGAUGAGGAGAGGAGAGAGGUGAGGAGGAAGGCAAGGAGGAAGAAGAGGAGGAAGAUGAGGAAGAAGAUGAGGAGGAAGAAGGAGAGGGGAGGAAAGGAGGAGGGAGGUGAGGAGAGGAGAGGAGGAAGGAGAGGAGGAAGAUGAGGAGGGAGAAGAGGAGAGGAGGAAGAUGAGGAGGAAGGCGAAGAAGAAAGUAGAGGGGAAGGAGAGGAGGGAGGUGAGGAGAGAGGUGAGGAGGAAGAAGGGGAGGAAGAAGAGAAGGAAGGAGAGGAGGAAGAUGAGGAGAGAGGUGAGGAGGAAGAUGAGGAGGAAGAAGAGAAGGAAGAGGAGGAAGAAGAGGAGAGAGGUGAGGAGGAAGAUGAGGAGGAAGAAGAGAAGGAAGAGGAGGAAGAAGAGGAGGAAGAAGAGGAGGAGGAAGAAGCAGAGGGGAGUAAAGGAGGAGAAAGGUGAGGAGAGGGGGAGGGAGAGGAGGAAGAUGAGGAGGAAGGCGAAGAGGAAAGUGGGAAGGAGAGGAAGAAGGCGAGGAGGAAGAAGAGGAGGAAGAAGAGAAGGAAGGAGAGGAGGGAGAUGAGGAGGGAGAUGAGGAAGGUGAGGAGAGGAGGGAGGUGAGGAGGAAGAAGAGGAGGAAGACGAGGAGGAAGGAGAGGAGGGAGAAGAGGAGAGGAGGAAGGCAAGGAGGAAAGUGAGGAGGAAGGUGAGGAGGAGGAAGGUGAGGAGGAGGAAGGAGAGGAGAGGAAAGGAGGAGAAAGGUGAGGAGAGGAGGAAGGAGUGGAGGAAGAAGAGGAGGAAGAAGAGAAGGAAGGCAAGGAGGAAGGAGAGGAGGAAGAUGAGAGAGGUGAGGAGGAAGAUGAGGAGGAAGACAAGGAGGAAGAGGAGGAAGAAGAGGAGGAAGAAGAGAAGGAGGAAGAAGCAGAGGGGAGUAAAGGAGGAGAAAGGUGAGGAGAGGAGGAGGGAGAGGAGGAAGAUGAGGAGGAAGGCGAAGAGGAAAGUGGGAAGGAGAGGAAGAAGGCGAGGAGGAAGAAGAGGAGGAAGAAGAGAAGGAAGGAGAGGAGGAAGGAGAGGAGGAAGAUGAGGAGAGGUGAGUAGGAAGGAGAGGAGGAAGAAGAGAAGGAAAGAGAGGAGGAGGGAGAGGAGGAAGAUGAGGAGGAAGGCGAAGAGGAAAGUGGGAAGGAGAGGAGGAAGAUGAGGAGGAAGAAGAGGAAGAAGAGAAGGAAGGUAAGGAGGAAGGAGAGGAGGAAGAUGAGGAGAGAGGUGAGGAGGAAGGAGAGGAGGAAGAAGAGAAGGAAGGAGAGGAGGAAGGAGAGGAUGAAGAUGAGGAGGGAGAUGAGGAAGGUGAGGAGAGGAGGGAGGUGAGGAGGAAGAAGAGGAGGAAGACGAGGAGGAAGGAGAGGAGGGAGAAGAGGAGAGGAGGAAGGCAAGGAGGAAAGUGAGGAGGAAGGUGAGGAGGAGGAAGGAGAGGAGAGGAAAGGAGGAGAAAGGUGAGGAGAGGAGGAAGGAGUGGAGGAAGAAGAGGAGGAAGAAGAGAAGGAAGGCAAGGAGGAAGGAGAGGAGGAAGAUGAGGAAGAAGAGAAGGAAGGAGAGGAAGAAGGAGAGGAGGAAGAUGAGGAGAGAGCUGAGGAGGAAGAAGAGGAGGAAGAAGAGAAGGAAGGAGAAGAGGAAGGAGAGGAUGAAGAUGAGGAGGGAGAUGAGGAAGGUGAGGAGAGGAGGGAGGUGAGGAGGAAGAGGAGGAGGAAGAUGAGGAGGAAGGAGAGGCGGAAGUCACACUGUGCCACCUUCCCUGAGCCGACCUUCCGUGCAGCAGCGCUUCGCCCCCUCCCUGGGAAAGACCCCACGGUGUCUCCAACCCCAUAACCUCCACCCCACAACCCCCACCCCAUAUCCUCCACCCCACAACCGCAGGAGAGCAAUGGGGCCAAAAGGAGAGCAGUGGGGCCCAGAGGAGAGGAGUGGGGCCAAAAGGAAGGCAAUGGGGCCGGGAGGAGAGCAGUGGGGCUGAUAUGGGGGCAAUGGGGCCAACAGGAGAGCAGUGGGGCUGACAGGAGAGUAAUGGGGCCAGCAGGACAGCAAUGGGGCUGACAGGAGAGUAAUGGGGCCAGCAGGAGAGCAAUGGGGACGAUAGGAGAGCAAUAGGGCCAGCAGGAGAGCAAUGGGGUCAGUAGAAAAGCAGUGGGGUCAAUAUAAAAGUAAUAGGGCCAACAGAAAAGUAAUAGGGCCAGCAGGAGAGCAAUGGGGCCAGCAGGAGAGUAAUAGGGCCGAUAGGAAAGUAAUGGGGCCGAUAGGAAAGUAAUGGGGCCGACAGGAGAGCAAUGGGGCCAAUAGGAGAGUAAUAGGGCCAGCAGGAGAGCAAUGGGGCCGACAGGAGAGCAAUGGGGCCAAUAGGAAAGUAAUGGGGCCAGGAGGAGAGCAAUGGGGCCGAUAGGAGACUAAUAGGGCCAAUAGGAGAGCAAUGGGGCCAGCAGGAGAGUAAUAGGGCCAGGAGGAGAGCAAUGGGGCCGAUAGAAAAGUAAUGGGGCCAGGAGGAGAGCAAUGGGGCCAGCAGGAGAGCAAUGGGGCCGACAGGAGAACAGUGGGGCCAGGAGAAGAACAAUGGGGCCAAUAGGAGAGUAAUAGGGCCAGCAGGAGGGCAGUGGGGCCAACAGGAGAGCAAUGGGGCUGAUAGGGGAACAAUGGGGCCAGGAGGAGAGAAAUGGGGCCAGCAGGAGAGUAAUAGGGCCAGCAGGAGAGCAGUGGGGCCAAUAGGAAAGUAAUGGGGCCAGCAUGAGAGUAAUAGGGCUGACAGGAGUGCAAUGGGGCCAAUAGGAGAGUAACAGGGCCAGCAGGAGAGCAAUAGGGCCAGCAGGAGAGCAAUGGGGCCAGCAGGAAAGUAAUGGGGCCAGCAGGAGAGCAAUGGGGCCGACAGGAGAGCAGUGGGGCCGAUAGGAGAGCAGUGGGGUCAGCAGAAAAGCAAUGGGGUCAAUAGAAAAGUAAUAGGGCCAACAGAAAAGUAAUGGGGCCAACAGGAGAACAAUGGGGCCAAUAGGAAAGUAAUGGGGCCAGCAGAAAAGCAAUGGGGUCAAUAGAAAAGUAUUAGGGCCAACAGGAGAACAAUGGGGCCGAUAGGAAAGUAAUGGGGCCAACAGGAGAGCAAUGAGGCUGACAGGAGAGUUAUAGGGCCGAUAGGAGAGCAGUGGGGUCAGCAGAAAAGCAAUGGGGUCAAUAGAAAAGUAAUAGGGCCAACAGAAAAGUAAUGGGGCCAGCAGGAGAGCAAUGGGGCCGAUAGGAAAGUAAUGGGGCUGAUAUGAGAAUAAUAGGGCCGAUAGGAGAGCAAUGGGGCUGAUAGGAGAGUAAUAGGACCGAUAGGAGAGCAAUGGGGCCGAGAGAAAAGUAAUGGGGCCAGGAGGAGAGCAGUGGGACCCAGAGGGGAGCAAUGGGGCCAAUGAGAGAGAAAUGGGGCCAACAGGAAAGUAAUAGGGUCAGCAGGAGAGCAAUGGGGUCAACAGGAGAGCAAUGGGGCCGAUAGGAGAGUAAUGGGGCCGACAGGAGAGCAAUGGGGCCGAUAGGAGAGCAAUGGGGCCGAUAGGAGAGUAAUGGGGCCGACAGGAGAGCAAUGGGGCCGAUAGAAAAGUAAUGGGGCCAGGAGGAGAGCAAUGGGGCCAGCAGGAGUGCAAUGGGGCCGAUAGGAGAGUAAUAGGGCCAGCAGGAGAGCAAUGGGGCCGACAGGAGAACAGUGGGGCCAGGAGAAGAACAAUGGGGCCAAUAGGAGAGUAAUAGGGCCAGCAGGAGGGCAGUGGGGCUGACAGGAAAGUAAUGGGGCCAGCACGAGAGUAAUAGGGCCGACAGGAGAGCAAUGGGGCCAGUAGGAGAGUAAUAGGGCCAGCAGGAG